rnacentral:rRNA from 1 species
GUGAGGAAUAUUGGACAAUGGGCGCAAGCCUGAUCCAGCCAUGCCGCGUGCAGGAAGACGCAUCUAUGGUGUGUAAACUGCUUUUGUACGGGAAGAAACACUCCCUCGUGAGGGAGCUUGACGGUACCGUAAGAAUAAGGAUCGGCUAACUCCGUGCCAGCAGCCGCGGUAAUACGGAGGAUCCAAGCGUUAUCCGGAAUCAUUGGGUUUAAAGGGUCCGGAGGCGGUUUAAUAAGUCAGUGGUGAAAGCCCAUCGCUCAACGAUGGAACGGCCAUUGAUACUGUUAGACUUGAAUUACAAGGAAGUAACUAGAAUAUGUAGUGUAGCGGUGAAAUGCUUAGAUAUUACAUGGAAUACCAAUUGCGAAGGCAGGUUACUACUUGUGGAUUGACGCUGAUGGACGAAAGCGUGGGGAGCGAACAGGAUUAGAUACCCGAGUAGUCC